UCAUUUUGCUUCUUUUU
rnacentral:miRNA from 1 species